rnacentral:rRNA from 1 species
CGACCGGCGCACGGGUGAGUAACGCGUAUCCAACCUUCCCAUUACUGUGGGAUAACCUGCCGAAAGGCAGACUAAUACCGCAUAGUCUUCGAUGACGGCAUCAGAUUUGAAGUAAAGAUUUAUCGGUAAUGGAUGGGGAUGCGUCUGAUUAGCUUGUUGGCGGGGUAACGGCCCACCAAGGCGACGAUCAGUAGGGGUUCUGAGAGGAAGGUCCCCCACAUUGGAACUGAGACACGGUCCAAACUCCUACGGGAGGCAGCAGAA